UAUAAAUAAACAAGAGUUUCAAUAAAAGAGAGUAUCAAAAGAUUACAUUGUUUCCCCCAACAACAAUAGGGUUUAGUUCACCAUUGUCAUGGUGAAACUAGAUGAAAAAUGGAUGAAGAAUGGAAAAGCAAACCCUAGAAAAGAUGAAAAGGAGCCUAAGCAUCCAAGAGAUCCUCUCCAGAGAGUGAAAUUAGGUCUGGC
rnacentral:lncRNA from 1 species